rnacentral:lncRNA from 1 species
GACAAUUCAAAAUUUGCUUUUGCUGCAGUGGUGGUACCAGCUCCUACUCAACAGACACCAACACCAAAACCUAAAGUAACUCCAGCUCCUACUCAACAGACACCAACACCAAAACCUAAAGUAACUCCAGCUCCAGGUAUGUAAUUAUUUUCCCUUCUAAAUUCUUUUCCUUUUCUAUCAUAUGUCUGGCGGAGGAUGCUAGUAUCUCUCUUAAACUCUUGAUCUGGCUCAUCAUCGAGGUUGAGCAUUUAAAUUUGGACAUGAAGAUCUAAUCGAGAUGUAUCUUUGGC